rnacentral:rRNA from 1 species
UACAGAGACUGCAAGCGUUAUUCGGAUUCACUGGGCGUAAAGGGUGCGCAGGCGGCCAAGUGUGUGAGGCGUGAAAGCCCGGGGCUUAACCCCGGAAUUGCACCUCAAACUACAUGGCUAGAGCAUUGGAGAGGGUAGCAGAAUUCAUGGUGUAGCAGUGAAAUGCGUAGAUAUCAAGUGGAACACCAGUGGCGAAGGCGAAUCCCUGGAAAAUACCUGACACUGAGGCACGAAAGCUAGGGGAGCAAACAGG